rnacentral:rRNA from 1 species
UACGUAGGGUGCGAGCGUUGUCCGGAAUUAUUGGGCGUAAAGAGCUCGUAGGCGGUGUGUCACGUCGGCCGUGAAAACCUGCAGCUUAACUGUGGGCGUGCGGUCGAUACGGGCACCACUGGAGUUCGGCAGGGGAGACUGGAAUUUCUGGUGUAGCGGUGAAAUGCGCAGAUAUCAGGAGGAACACCGGUGGCGAAGGCGGGUCUCUGGGCCGAUACUGACGCUGAGGAGCGAAAGCGUGGGGAGCAAACAGG